rnacentral:tRNA from 1 species
GUGGGAGUAACUCAGCGAUAGAGUGCAACCUUGCCAAGGUUGAAUCGCUGGUUCAAAUUCCGUCUCCCGCA